AACUUAAGCAUAUCAAUAAGCGGAGGAAAAGAAACUAACAAGGAUUCCCCUAGUAACGGCGAGUGAAGCGGGAUGAGCUCAAAUUUAAAAUCUGGCAGUCUAAGAUUGUCCGAGUUGUAGUCUAGAGAAGCGUUUUCCGCGUAGGCCUGUGUACAAGUCCCUUGGAAUAGGGCGUCAUAGAGGGUGAGAAUCCCGUCCUUGACACAGAUCAUCUAUGCUCUGCGAUGCGCUCUCGAAGAGUCGAGUUGUUUGGGAAUGCAGCUCAAAAUGGGUGGUAAAUUCCAUCUAAAGCUAAAUAUUGGCGAGAGACCGAUAGCGAACAAGUACCGUGAGGGAAAGAUGAAAAGCACUUUGGAAAGAGAGUUAAACAGUACGUGAAAUUGUUGAAAGGGAAACGAUUGAAGUCAGUCAUGUGGUUUGAGGUUCAGCCGGUUCUGCCGGUGUAUUCCUCAGACUACAGGCCAGCAUCAGUUUCGACCGGUGGAAAAAGUUGGAGGGAACGUGGCAUCCUCGGAUGUGUUAUAGCCCUCUUUCACAUGCAUCGGACGGGACUGAGGAACGCAGCGUGCCUUUAUGGUCGGUCUUCGGACACGAACGCGCUUAGGAUGCUGGCA
rnacentral:rRNA from 1 species